CCUACGGGGGGCUGCAGUGGGGAAUAUUGGACAAUGGGGGAAACCCUGAUCCAGCAAUGCCGCGUGUGUGAAGAAGGCCUGCGGGUUGUAAAGCACUUUCGGUUGGGAAGAAAAGUUUGGCGCCAAUACCGCCGAACCUUGACGUUACUGACAGAAGAAGCACCGGCUAACUCUGUGCCAGCAGCCGCGGUAAUACAGAGGGUGCAAGCGUUAAUCGGAAUCACUGGGCGUAGGGCGUGAGUCAAUGCGCGUGUGAAAUCCCCGGGCUUAACCUGGGAACUGCAUUCGAGACUACAUGGCUAGAGUAUGGUAGAGGGAAGUGGAAUUUCCGGUGUAGCGGUGAAAUGCGUAGAUAUCGGAAGGAACACCAAUGGCGAAGGCAGCUUCCUGGACUAAUACUGACACUGAGGCACGAAAGCGUGGGUAGCAAACAGGAUUAGAUACCCCUUC
rnacentral:rRNA from 1 species